rnacentral:rRNA from 1 species
AUUGAACGCUGGCGGCAGGCCUAACACAUGCAAGUCGAGCGGAUGAAGGGAGCUUGCUCCUGGAUUCAGCGGCGGACGGGUGAGUAAUGCCUGGGAAUCUGCCUGGUAGUGGGGGAUAACGUCCGGAAACGGGCGCUAAUACCGCAUACGUCCUGAGGGAGAAAGUGGGGGAUCUUCGGACCUCACGCUAUCAGAUGAGCCUAGGUCGGAUUAGCUAGUUGGUGGGGUAAAGGCCUACCAAGGCGACGAUCCGUAACUGGUCUGAGAGGAUGAUCAGUCACACUGGAACUGAGACACGGUCCAGACUCCUACGGGAGGCAGCAGUGGGGAAUAUUGGACAAUGGGCAAAAGCCUGAUCCAGCCAUGCCGCGUGUGUGAAGAAGGUCUUCGGAUUGUAAAGCACUUUAAGUUGGGAGGAAGGGCAGUAAGUUAAUACCUUGCUGUUUUGACGUUACCAACAGAAUAAGCACCGGCUAACUUCGUG